rnacentral:rRNA from 1 species
GAAACCCUGUGGAGAGAGGAUUCAGUCUGUUUCGGCUGACUGACCUACGGAAGUACAGCAGGGCUUCCCUUCGACGGGUGCUGUCUGGGGGACCGACUUCUACCGUUCCAGACGCACUUGACUCUCACCCGAUGAACGCUGUAGCCGGUCAGGCAGUACAAGCGCGACUGCCUGAGGGUCGGGAGAGGGCAGAUGGCCUGUGGCUGGCCUCAUGCGGGCCGCGAGUUGUUAGCCAUCCUGUCAGUGGCUCGUCGCCGGACCAUAGUGUCGCGAGUCCCCUCGCGGGACUCCUCGUCUCCUACCCUGUGACGUCGGUACAGCUGGGGGCAAGGUUCUUCUGUCCCGGCCAUCGCAGUCCUCCGGAGUGGGCGGUCGGGCGGUGAGCUCCGGCUGGCCGUGGUGGCUCCGGCGGAUUCGUUGAAGACCGGAGGCUCGCAUCGAGUAGAUCGGUCACCAACCCGACCCGUCUUGAAACACGGACCAAGGAGUCUAACAUGUGCGUGAGUCAAUGGGUCUUGAACAGGCCCAAGGGCGCAAUGAAAGCGAAGGCCCGCCUCUGGCGCGGGCCGAAUUGAGAUCCCGGUCCUCAGAGGCCAGAGGAAACUCUGGUAAAGGUUCGCAGGUGUUCGGACGUGCAAAUCAAUCGUCUGAUCCGG